GACCCAGUGGCGGAUGGUCCGUGCCUGUUCACUAUGAGUUUCUGAACAGUGGCAUUAUGCAGGUGUUGCUCGUUCGAAUCGAGCCUGGGUCA